GGGAGGUAGUGACAAUAAAUAACAAUACGGGGCUCUUUUGGGUCUCGUAAUUGGAAUGAGUACAAUUUAAAUCUCUUAACGAGGAACAAUUGGAGGGCAAGUCUGGUGCCAGCAGCCGCGGUAAUUCCAGCUCCAAUAGCGUAUAUUAAAGUUGUUGCAGUUAAAAAGCUCGUAGUUGAAUUUCGGGAUUAGUAGGUUGGUCGUGCCUCUGGUAUGUACUGGCUUUACUGGUUCCUCCUUCUUGAAGAACUGUAAUGUCAUUAAUUUGGUGUUGCGGGGAAACAGGACUGUUACUUUGAAAAAUUAGAGUGUUUAAAGCAGGCUAGCGCCUGAAUACAUUAGCAUGGAAUAAUGAAAUAGGACGUUCGAACCUAUUUUGUUGGUUUCUAGGAUUGACGUAAUGAUUAAUAGGGAUAGUUGGG
rnacentral:rRNA from 1 species